UGUGAGCUCGAUGAGUAGGGCGGGACACGUGGUAUCCUGUCUGAAUAUGGGGGGACCAUCCUCCAAGGCUAAAUACUCCUGACUGACCGAUAGUGAACCAGUACCGUGAGGGAAAGGCGAAAAGAACCCCGGCGAGGGGAGUGAAAAAGAACCUGAAACCGUGUACGUACAAGCAGUGGGAGCACAGGUUUACCUGUGUGACUGCGUACCUUUUGUAUAAUGGGUCAGCGACUUAUAUUCUGUAGCAAGGUUAACCGUAUAGGGGAGCCGAAGGGAAACCGAGUCUUAACCGGGCGUUAAGUUGCAGGGUAUAGACCCGAAACCCGGUGAUCUAGCCAUGGGCAGGUUGAAGGUUGGGUAACACUAACUGGAGGACCGAACCGACUAAUGUUGAAAAAUUAGCGGAUGACCUGUGGCUGGGGGUGAAAGGCCAAUCAAACCGGGAGAUAGCUGGUUCUCCCCGAAAGCUAUUUAGGUAGCGCCUCGUGAAUUCAUCUCCGGGGGUAGAGCACUGUUUCGGCUAGGGGGCCAUCCCGGCUUACCAACCCGAUGCAAACUGCGAAUACCGGAGAAUGUUAUCACGGGAGACACACGGCGGGUGCUAACGUCCGUCGUGAAGAGGGAAACAACCCAGACCGCCAGCUAAGGUCCCAAAGUCAUGGUUAAGUGGGAAACGAUGUGGGAAGGCCCAGACAGCCAGGAUGUUGGCUUAGAAGCAGCCAUCAUUUAAAGAAAGCGUAAUAGCUCACUGGUCGAGUCGGCCUGCGCGGAAGAUGUAACGGGGCUAAACCAUGCACCGAAGCUGCGGCAGCGACGCUGAUGCGUUGUUGGGUAGGGGAGCGUUCUGUAAGCCUGCGAAGGUGGCCUGUGAGGGUUGCUGGAGGUAUCAGAAGUGCGAAUGCUGACAUAAGUAACGAUAAAGCGGGUGAAAAGCCCGCUCGCCGGAAGACCAAGGGUUCCUGUCCAACGUUAAUCGGGGCAGGGUGAGUCGACCCCUAAGGCGAGGCCGAAAGGCGUAGUCGAUGGGAAACGGGUUAAUAUUCCCGUACUUGGUGUUACUGCGAAGGGGGGACGGAGAAGGCUAUGUUGGCCGGGCGACGGUUGUCCCGGUUUAAGCGUGUAGGUGUGUGUUCCAGGUAAAUCCGGUUCACUUUAACACUGAGGCGUGACGACGAGGCACUACGGUGCUGAAGCAACAAAUGCCCUGCUUCCAGGAAAAGCCUCUAAGCAUCAGGUAACAUCAAAUCGUACCCCAAACCGACACAGGUGGUCAGGUAGAGAAUACCAAGGCGCUUGAGAGAACUCGGGUGAAGGAACUAGGCAAAAUGGUGCCGUAACUUCGGGAGAAGGCACGCUGACACGUAGGUGAAGUGAUUUACUCAUGGAGCUGAAGUCAGUCGAAGAUACCAGCUGGCUGCAACUGUUUAUUAAAAACACAGCACUGUGCAAACACGAAAGUGGACGUAUACGGUGUGACGCCUGCCCGGUGCCGGAAGGUUAAUUGAUGGGGUCAGCGCAAGCGAAGCUCCUGAUCGAAGCCCCGGUAAACGGCGGCCGUAACUAUAACGGUCCUAAGGUAGCGAAAUUCCUUGUCGGGUAAGUUCCGACCUGCACGAAUGGCGUAAUGAUGGCCAGGCUGUCUCCACCCGAGACUCAGUGAAAUUGAACUCGCUGUGAAGAUGCAGUGUACCCGCGGCAAGACGGAAAGACCCCGUGAACCUUUACUAUAGCUUGACACUGAACAUUGAGCCUUGAUGUGUAG
rnacentral:rRNA from 1 species